rnacentral:lncRNA from 1 species
CAUGAUUUGAGUAGUCCUAUGAGGAAUCCUGCAUUUUCCUGCCAUUGAAUUUAUAAUUGGUUAAUUUUCUUGAUAAUGCUAAAAAAUUCAUGUUGCUUAUUCUCCUUGAAUUUCCCAAUCAUGUAGACUUAUAGCUUUUCGACUUCAUCUCCUUAUUGCUGACCGUAUGUGAAAAUCCAAUUGCAAAUAUAUGUAUUCCCAAGGGUGUUGCUCAUUCUUUUCUUCCUUGCCAUAGCUUGACGAGUGAGGAAGAAGAGGAAUCCGAAUGUGAAGAACAGGUACUUAUGUAGCAUGGAAUAGUUCUUGGAACGUAAAUUGGGGUUGAUGAAUUAAUUAAUUAACUUGUCAAUUCCAGAUUUUAGUAGCAUCUUAUUGAUUUUUGAAAUUGUGGAACAGAAUAAGUUAUCUUCGAUUUAGAAAGUGGGCUUCGAACAACUCCAAUUGUUGAUAUUUUUUCUAGCUUUCUUCCACGUUUUAUCCAGUUUUCUCACAUUCAGUAUUGGGAUAGCUAAGGUAAUUAUAUUCAACUUACUUUUGCUCGUUUCAUGUUCUUCAUCUAGAAGAAUUCAGUAAAUUUUUCUUUUUUACCUUGGAUAGUGGACCAUGGAUGUUGAAUUGCUCUCUUGUAAAUUGCCAGUAUGUACGAGUCACAAAAAGAGGGUAGUUUCUGGAACAAGUUUUGGACCUUUGAUUAAGACUACAGUUUUUGAAUUUUCAGUUAACUGUAAAUACAAUAUUGAAAUUGUAGACAUAGAUAGUUGACUUCUGAUAUAGGCAUAGACUAUAGUUUCUAUUGCAAUGUAUAGUGUCAAACCAAUUCCUUCUUUUUCUAUAUCUUUAAUCUUCUUCAACAAAUUUGAUUAGUAUAGCUUGGUACCUCUACCAUAAAUUCUUAUUAUUUCAUGAAAUAAAUCAAUGUGUGCUCCAUCUUAUGUAAUUCUUUUUAAAAAUUUUAUUAUUUCAUGAAUUCCUAUUUCCCAAAAAACUGGG